AUUCAGUGAAGUGAACUCGUGGCGUCAGAGGAACAAAUCAAGUAAAGAAACUGUACUUAACACAUAAACUACGUCUCUCUCCAGCGCCAACGUCAUUUUAUAGAAGAAUAACUAAACCGCCUGUUUGUCAUCACAUUUUGUUCCAAAGCGCUCUUGUGAACAAGUACAGUUGGUUCUCCCUUGAAGUGGAAGCAGAAGAAGCGAUCGCGUCGAUCACAGCAGCAGCUUUCAAGCUGACUUCACCGGAGUGAAACCGCUCCCCACACACAGGACGGGACCAGUACGGGGACAGAGACCACGGGGACAGAGACCACGGGGACAGAGACCACGGGGACAGAGACCACGGGGACAGAGACCACGGGGACAGAGACCACGGGGACAGAGACGCACACACACACACACACACACACAGUGAGUAUGAGAGGGAAGAUGCUUUGUCAUUCAGGUAGAAACUGAUGCAACUGAGUCACAAGUGGAAGCAAAGUGAUGCAACAACGGUUUCGUAAUCUUUGACCGGCAACAUCCUGUGUGGUGGAGGGGUCAAAGGUCACCGCUAAACACACUCAAGCACAUUUUGCAGGUACUACUUGGAUUUCAACUUUUCUUUUUGCUGUAGUAAAUAUGCUGCUUCGGUACUUGGAUGUGAUGUAAUUAUCUUACAGUUAAUGUCUAUCCAGCCUGGUUUCACUCCCACAAUGCACCUGUCAUUGUCUGUGUGACACAACGCACGUUCAACGUAAAUCCUUCUGUUUCAUAAGUACAGCUUGUGCAACAGAAGUAGUACUGGCAGAAGUACACACUCAGGGGACCUGUUCUCAUACAGGAAGUUCAUUUUUGAAAAGACUACGUGCGUUCGUGUUGAGCGCAGAAGGAAAGCGGCUUCUGAACUGUUUGGUUGUGACGCUUCGUUCGUCUCCUACGUCACGUUACAUCCGUUUUGUCCUUAGUUUCGUUGCUUAAAUCAAACCGAGAAGAGUUUCACAACACAAGCCACUCGUUACCGCGUUAAGCGUUUCACAUCGUUC
ensembl:lncRNA